UACGUAGGGUGCGAGCGUUGUCCGGAAUUAUUGGGCGUAAAGGGCUCGUAGGCGGUUUGUCGCGUCGGGAGUGAAAACCUUGGGCUUAACUCAGGGCUUGCUUUCGAUACGGGCAGACUAGAGGUAUGCAGGGGAGAACGGAAUUCCUGGUGUAGCGGUGAAAAUGCGCAGAUAUCAGGAGGAACACCGGUGGCGAAGGCGGUUCUCUGGGCAUGAUCUGACGCUGAGGAGCGAAAGUGUGGGGAGCGAACAGG
rnacentral:rRNA from 1 species